rnacentral:rRNA from 1 species
GCUUACUGCCAUACCACCCUGAAUGUGCCCGAUCCCGUCUAAAAUCGGAAGCUAAGCAGGGUCAGGCCUGGUUAGUACUUGGAUCGGUGACCGCCUGGGAAUACCAGGUGCUGUAAGCU